GAUGAACGCUGGCGGCGGGCCUAAUACAUGCAAGUCGAGCGAAGCGGGGACGGGUGAGGAACACGUGGAGAACCUCCCAUAAGCAUGGGAUUAAUUCGGGAAACCGGAGCUAAAUCGGAUACUUUUAGAUGGAUCCGCGGUGCAUUAGCUAGUUGGUAAGGUAACGGCUUACCAAGGCAACGAUGCAUAUCAGACCUGAGAGGGUGAUCAGCCACCCUGGACCUGAGACACGUUCCAGACUCCUACGGGAGGCAGCAGUGGGGAAGCUUCCGCAAUGGGCGAAAGCCUGACGGAGCAACGCCGCGUGUGUGAUGAAGGUCUUCGGAUCGUAAAACUCUUUUAUUGGGGAAGCGGUACCUACUCAGAAAGCCACGGCUAACUACGUGCCAGCAGCCGCGGUAAUUC
rnacentral:rRNA from 1 species